GUAGGCGGACCCUUAAGUCAGUGGUGAAAGUUUGCGGCUCAACCGUAAAAUUGCCAUUGAAACUGAGGGUCUUGAGUGUAAAUGAGGUAGGCGGAAUGUGUUGUGUAGCGGUGAAAUGCUUAGAUAUAACACAGAACACCAAUUGCGAAGGCAGCUUACUGGGAUACAACUGACGCUGAGGCACGAAAGCGUGGGGAUCAAACAGGAUUAGAUACCCUGGUAGUCCACGCAGUAAACGAUGAAUACUAACUGUAUGCGAUAUAUUGUAUGCGGUACAGCGAAAGCGUUAAGUAUUCCACCUGGGGAGUACGUUCGCAAGAAUGAAACUCAAAGGAAUUGACGGGGGCCCGCACAAGCGGAGGAACAUGUGGUUUAAUUCGAUGAUACGCGAGGAACCUUACCCGGGCUUGAAAUGCAGAGGAAUGACUUGGAAACAAGUCCGCCAGCAAUGGUCUCUGUGUAGGUGCUGCAUGGUUGUCGUCAGCUCGUGCCGUGAGGUGUCGGCUUAAGUGCCAUAACGAGCGCAACCCUUAUCAUUAGUUACUAACAGGUCGUGCUGAGGACUCUAAUGAGACUGCCACCGUAAGGUGUGAGGAAGGUGGGGAUGACGUCAAAUC
rnacentral:rRNA from 1 species